UCAAACUUGGUCAUUUASAGGAAGUAAAAGUCCGUAACAAGG
rnacentral:rRNA from 1 species